UGGCGAACGGGUGAGUAACGCGUGAGGAACCUGCCUCAAANAGGGGGACAACAGUUGGAAACGACUGCUAAUACCGCNUAAGCCCACGGCUCGGCAUCGAGCAGAGGGAAAAGGAGCAAUCCGCUUUGAGAUGGCCUCGCGUCCGAUUAGCUAGUUGGUGAGGUAACGGCCCACCAAGGCGACGAUCGGUAGCCGGACUGAGAGGUUGAACGGCCACAUUGGGACUGAGACACGGCCCAGACUCCUACGGGAGGCAGCAUG
rnacentral:rRNA from 1 species